rfam:Loxodonta africana unplaced genomic scaffold scaffold_30, whole genome shotgun sequence.
GCAGUGGUAGUUCAGUGGUAGAAUGCUUGCCUUCCAUGUGGGAUACCUGGGUUUGAUUCCUGGCCAGUGCU